AUUGAACGCUGGCGGCAUGCCUUACACAUGCAAGUCGAACGGCAGCACGGGAGCAAUCCUGGUGGCGAGUGGCGAACGGGUGAGUAAUAUAUCGGAACGUGCCCAGUCGUGGGGGAUAACGCAGCGAAAGCUGUGCUAAUACCGCAUACGAUCUACGGAUGAAAGCGGGGGAUCGCAAGACCUCGCGCGAUUGGAGCGGCCGAUAUCAGAUUAGCUGGUUGGUGGGGUAAAGGCCCACCAAGGCGACGAUCUGUAGCUGGUCUGAGAGGACGACCAGCCACACUGGAACUGAGACACGGUCCAGACUCCUACGGGAGGCAGCAGUGGGGAAUUUUGGACAAUGGGCGCAAGCCUGAUCCAGCAAUGCCGCGUGCAGGAUGAAGGCCUUCGGGUUGUAAACUGCUUUUGUACGGAACGAAACGUCUCCUUCUAAUAAAAGGGGCUAAUGACGGUACCGUAAGAAUAAGCACCGGCUAACUACGUGCCAGCAGCCGCCGUAAAAC
rnacentral:rRNA from 1 species